rnacentral:snRNA from 1 species
GGAUAUAAGGGUGAUCCGGCUGUGACAUCUGUCACGUUUAGCGAUUGCCAGGGUUGGUUUGGCGGAUACGGCUGGGGAGGCAGCUGUCUCCUCUUCCUCACCCCUCAGGCGUCCCUGUUCCGUCCAUGCCGUACCAUGCAAUAUUUUAAGAUACUACGCAUUAGUGUAUUUUUAAGGAAGCCAGACAAAAUGCAUCGAUGCGUUUAAUCAAUGUUAAAGCUUUUAGUUUUUAAAAAAGUAAGUCUUGCUUUACAGCUAUCUUU